rnacentral:rRNA from 1 species
ACGCUCGACACCUAGGAGGCAGCAGUGGGGAAUAUUGCACAAUGGGGGAAACCCUGAUGCAGCGACGCCGCGUGGAGGAAGAAGGUCUUCGGAUUGUAAACUCCUGUUGUUGGGGAAAAAGAGGAUGGUACCCAACAAGGAAGUGACGGCUAACUACGUGCAAGCAGCCGCGGUAAUCUGAGCGGGCUGGCAAGGC